rnacentral:rRNA from 1 species
AAAACACUUUCAGCAAUGGAUGUCUUGGCUCCCACACCGAUGAAGAACGCAGUGAAAUGCGAUACGUCAUGCGAAUUGCAAAAUCAGUGAGUCAUCAAAACUUUGAACGCAUCUUGCACUUC